AACAAACAACAAGAAUUUUUGAAUUGAAUUUCUUUAUUGAGUCUUUUAGGUUACAGUUGCUGUCUUAGUCUAAAAAUAACAAUUCUUUACUACUUUACUUAAGUUAAACUGGCGGCUAUAAUGUAUUGCCUGCUCUUUCAGUUGCUUUGUAAUGAAAAUGAAUACAAUGUUUGCCUCAUGGCGGUCAGUAAAAUGUUUUUCUUUUUUUUCUACUCUUGCUCAUGACAGAGAGUUUUGUUUACGUUAACUGUGUGACGUUUUGUCACCCUCUUAUAAACUAGGAUACAUAUAUACAAUAAAAAAAACUACAGAUACCUUACAAACUAACCCUACGAUAGAAUGCCUUGAACAUUUGUUAGGUUUGUGAGAUACGAAUAUACAUAGUAUGUACGGAAUACAAAUAUACAUUUUCUUUUUUUUUUUUUUUGUUAGAGCGAGAGCUCAGUCAGAUUCUUGUGAAUACAUUUGAAUAUUAUUAACAUGGAGGAAAAAGGCAUUUAUCGGGGAACACAUUUAUACUUCGAUUGUUGUGUACGAGACGAGGUAAACAUAGAUACACAGAGGGUGUUACAAAAGAAAAAAAAAAAGAAACUUCAUUAAUGAAGAUAAUGAAUGACAGAUAACAUUGAUUAUUACAAUUAUUUGUUUUAUAAAAUAUUUUUACUUUUGAUUUGUUGUUCAUUUAAUUGUCUUUUACAUUGGUGAUUUUGUAAUUAUUUAUUUUAUAAUAAUACCUGUUAUAUAUUGUUUGAUAAAUACUUGAAAUGUAUUUUAUUUCAAUUAGAAGAUAACUAAAUGAUACUUAUUCUAGUAUUUUUAAGUAGAAAAGGGGUUCCCCCAACGUACACUGUAGUGAAUCGCGGGACGCAAGUGGCGAAUGGAUAAUUAUCCGCGAUUUUGAUUUGGGAUGGCCCUGUUAUAGAACUCUAAAGGUUCUAACACUGGAGCGUCAAGAUCCACUGAGAGUAUUCCGAGUGGUGACAGAUAACCAACGCCGUCCCAAGAGGACCCAGUCUGGGAUGCUAAGGAAUGUAUUAUUAAGUCGUUUUCGGAUUGUUCAAAGUUUGAAAUUGUUUUUUUCAUGAGAAGCGAGACGUAUCUCAUCAGCGGGACAGUAUUUGUGUCGCUGUAAAUAAAGUUAUUUGAGAAUCUUUUGGUCCGGGUCUCAAAGUUUUUACCAGCACAGA